UGGGGCGUGGUGCAAUGGUAGCACAGCGGACUUUGGAUCCGUUAACGGAGGUUCGAACCCUCCCGCCCCAG
rnacentral:tRNA from 1 species